AUCGAACGCUGGCGGCAGGCCUAAUACAUGCAAGUCGAACGAGUGGCGGACGGGUGAGUAAUGUCUGGGAAACUGCCUGAUGGAGGGGGAUAACUACUGGAAACGGUAGCUAAUACCGCAUACCAUCAGAUGUGCCCAGACGGGAUUAGCUUGUUGGUGGGGUAACGGCUCACCAAGGCGACGAUCCCUAGCUGGUCCGAGAGGCUGACCGGCCACACUGGAACUGAGACACGGUCCAGACUCCUACGGGAGGCAGCAGUGGGGAAUAUUGGACAAUGGGCGAAAGCCGGAUGCAGCCAUGCCGCGUGUAUGAAGAAGGCCUUCGGGUUGUAAAGUACUUUCAGCGGGGAGGCGUUACCCAAAGAGGAAGCACCGGCUAACUACGUGCCAGCAGCCGCGGUAAUUC
rnacentral:rRNA from 1 species